UUUACCUAUGUUCUUCAUUUGGCUUUGGUUUAAAUUAAUGGAACUAGUGUGAAAGUAUUGAUAGUGCGAUAUUGAGAAUUACAUCGCAAAUUACCACACAGUACCAUAGGAGCUCAUAAUUCGAAUACGGGUUCUAACCACGUUGUUGCGCCUUCACAAGUAUCUGAACUACAUUCAUUGAAAGUCACUUGAUUUAUCGAUAAUUCAUAAUGCCAGUGACAGCAAAACUGGAAAAGUUGCCACAGCGUCUUUACAUCGUCUUUGUCAGAAGUAAGCCUGAAGAGUGGUGCACUAAGCUACUAAGAGCCCUCCGAAGAAGAAUAUGAAGAAGAAGCAGAAGAAGAAGAAGAUGAAGAACAUGAAAAAAAGAAGAGGUUCACAGGAAGAAGUACAAAAUUCAGCAAGAUGGCACAUAGCUUGAAUGUUAAAGGCUACUUGCAACUCCUAGUUGCGACUCAGAUCACAGCCAGAUUGUAUAAAGUUAUUAUUGUGACAUGUCUAACUUCUCAAUCACUGUGAUUUAUAACAGAUACACAAUUUCUUGCCCACGCCCAAUAAAUAUUUAAUUGGUAGCUGAA